GACGAACGCUGGCGGCGUGCCUAAUACAUGCAAGUCGAACGCAGUGGGGACGGGUGAGUAACACGUGGGUAACCUCCCAUCAGAGGGGAUAACACUUGGAAACAGGUGCUAAACCGAUAUUUAUGGAUGGACCCGCGGUGCAUUAGCUAGUUGGGGAGGUAACGGCUCACCAGGGCCACGAUGCAUAGCCGACCGUAGAGUGGAAUCGGCCACACUGGGACUGAGAAACGGCCCAGACUCCAACGGGAGGCAGCAUUAGGGAAUCUUCGGCAAUGGACGAAAUUCUGACCGAGAAACGCCGCGUGAGUGAAGAAGUUUUUCGGAUCGUAAAACUCUGUUGUUAGAGAAGCGGUAUCUAACCAGAAAGCCACGGCUAACUACGUGCCAGCAGCCGCGGUAAUAC
rnacentral:rRNA from 1 species